CGUCAUAGUGGGGCGUGAACGUUCUCGACGCAUCGAGCACAUUCAGUAUCUACCGAAUAAUCUCGAGUGUUCGAGAGCCCAUUCAUUUCUAUUUUUCACUCCAAUACAAAAACAUGCUGAUGGUAUUUGACUUUAUUGAUCGGGGCGUUCUCUCUCGACUAUUCGAGUUUUCUAUAUUUUUAGCUACAAGUUGACUAUGUAUCUUUGGCGUUCGGCCUUUGCAUCAUCUCAUUUUUAUUGUUUGUCUUGAGACAAAUCACCGUCAUUGAAUAUAACAAAAUAAAAAAUAAUGCUGAAGUUAGCCGUCAACUGUCAAUUUUAAAAAUUUUUUUAAUAAAC